UAAAGAAGCCUCUGAUUGGAGCCAUUGUUGUUCAAAUCACAUACUCUGGAAUGAGUAUUUUGGCAAAAGCUGCUUUUACUUCUGGUAUGAACAACUUCAUUUUUAUUUUUUAUAGGCAAGCUUUUGGAACUCUCUUCCUUAUCCCUCCUACCAUCCUUUUCAAAAGGUAAUUAAUUUUCUAAUUUUAAAUUUAUUAAUCACUAUUUUCAUACAACAUUUCUUUCGAAUAACACUUGUUUUUUUUUGUAUGGAUGUGUGGUAGAAAAGAAGUAGCAUGUUUAUCGAUAGGAGAUAUGUUCAAGAUUUUCAUGUUGGCUUUACUUGGGAGGAUGUUGGUGUUGAUAGCUUAUAGUUUAGGUGUUAAAUAUACAUCUGCAGUUUCUGGUGCGCUGCUUUUAAUGCUCUUCCUGUCACCACUUUUUUAUUUGCUCUUCUUCUAAGGUACUACUUCUAGUUCCUAGUAACAUAUAUAUUUAUCUAUUACAUUAUUUGAACUCGAGACUUAGCCUCUUGUGUUGUUGGUGUUUUGGUAUUGAAAGUUCAUAUAGUUAUUAUUUGAUCAAAUUUAACUAAAUUUAUAAGAAUUGAAAAUGAAUUAUAAGAACCCUUUUGAUAUUUACACUAAUUUGUGUACGUUUUCUAAGAAAAUAAAUUUGUUGAUUAGAUAUAAUUAAUUAUGUUGUCAUUUACUUUAAUUUAAUUGGAAGGAUUACCCCUAAUCUUGGAAAUAAUUGUGAAUCGAGUGCGCCCUUCAUCAUCUCCCACUUAACCUAUUUAUUUAUUUGUUUGUUUGUUAGUUAAAGAAUAUUACUUUAGAUUUAGUUGCCAACAAUUUGAUGGUUGAUUACAACUUGUAAAAAAAAAAACAAGGAUAGGGGAGAAUUGAUUUAAAUAAUAAAAUAAUAUAGUAGAUUCUGAUUGAGAUGUAAAAAUAUUUUAGUUAAUUUUGGUAUAAUUGAAAACAAAACGAUGGUGGUUUGAGAACAGGAUGGAGAAAUUAAAGGUGAAAAAAGCAAGUGGAAUGGCAAAAGUAGGAGGGCUGAUAUUGUGUGUCGUUGGUGUUUCAAUACUUGCAUUUUACAAAGGCCCUCUCAUGAAACCACUCUUCAAUUAUCAUCUUUUAGAAACUCAACACCAUAAUUCUCAUCCUUCUAAUUCUUCUCCUCAACACACAUGGGCUCUUGGUUGCUUUAUGCUUCUCAUUUCUUCCAUCUCUUCUGGCCUUUGGGCUCGUUCUUCAGGCAUUGGUUUUGAAGGAGGCUUGUCCAUCUCCACUUGUGUUAACCUGUGGACAAACCUUGUCAAGCACUUUCCAAACAUUUGUUGUGGCCAUUGCAGUUGAAUCAAAUCCUUCAGAAUGGAAGUUGGGUUGGAACAUUCGUCUCUUUUCCGUUCUUUACUGUGGAAUUUUUGUGAUCUGCAUUGGGAACUAUUUGACAUGUUGGGUGCUCAAGAAGAAGGGUCCAGUUUUUAUAGCAGCUACAACUCCAUUGAAUCUCAUUGCUACUCUCAUUGGUUCUCAAUUUUUACUAUCCGAUGGAGCCAGCUUGGGAAGUUUAAUAGGUGGAAUAUUGCUGGUUCUUAGCCUCUACAGUGUUCUAUGGGGACAAAGCAAGGAAAAUGAUCAUGAGAAUACACAAAUUAAUCUCAAUAUUAAUCCAAUUCCACCAGAAAAGGAAAUCGGAGAUUUACAUGAUAUCAACCAAAUUUCUUCUUCCAAGUCUUAAAUCAUUGUAACCUAAUUUGGAAUUUAACUAAACAUAUGUAUUGUUCAUCUAUAGCAUACAUUAUACGAUAAUGUAAGCUAUUAUAUCAAACAAACAUCUAAUAUAUUGUAUUUGCUGUACUAUAUAUACACACACGCGUGACGUAUCAGUACAUACAUUGACAUAUUUUUAAAUUGAAGGGUUUAAGAAUGCUAUUAAAUAAAUAUCUAUAGAUAUCUUUUAA